AACGAACGCUGGCGGCAUGCCUAACACAUGCAAGUCGAACGCAUGUAGCAAUACAUGAGUGGCGAACGGGUGAGUAACGCGUGGGAACCUGCCUAGUGGUAGGGAAUAACCGCGGGAAACUGCGGCUAAUACCCUAUGAGCCCUCCGGGGAAAGAUUUAUCGCCAUUAGAGGGGCCCGCGUCGGAUUAGCUAGUUGGUGGGGUAACGGCCCACCAAGGCGACGAUCCGUAGCUGGUCNGAGAGGAUGAUCAGCCACACUGGGACUGAGAUACGGCCCAGACUCCUACGGGAGGCAGCAGUGGGAAUAUUGGACAAUGGGGCAACCCUGAUCCAGCAAUGCCGCGUGAGUGAAGAAGGCCUUAGGGUUGUAAAGCUCUUUCGGCGGGGAAGAUGAUGACGGUACCCGCAGAAGAA
rnacentral:rRNA from 1 species